UACGUAGGUGACCAGCGUUGUCCGGAUUUACUGGGCGUAAAGAGCGCGCAGGCGGUCGUUCAAGUCGAGUGUGAAAGCCCCCGGCUCAACUGGGGAGGGUCAUUCGAUACUGAUCGACUCGAAGGCAGGAGAGGGAAGCGGAAUUCCCGGUGUAGUGGUGAAAUGCGUAGAUAUCGGGAGGAACACCAGUGGCGAAGGCGACUACCUGGCCUGUUCUUGACGCUGAGGCGCGGAAAGCUAGGGGAGCAAACGGGG
rnacentral:rRNA from 1 species